CACGAUUUUCACCUGGUGUGGCAAGGCAAAACCGACUCUGCAAAGUACUGGAUCAGCUAUGACAAUUCAGUUCAUUUCAUCUUAUUGGUACAGUCUGAAAGGCUUCCGACUGAAAUAUUUCGCAACUAAUGACACAUACAGAUGUGGAGGGACAGUAAAUAUUACGGAGGUUGGGAAUACAACCUUGACAGGGCCGUAUCAAAAUUCCCAAGAUUGCCACUGGACAAUACAUGCCCCCGCCAACAUGAC